rnacentral:rRNA from 1 species
UACGGGGGGAGCAAGCGUUGUUCGGAUUUACUGGGCGUAAAGGGCGCGUAGGCGGUCGUGACAAGUCACUUGUGAAAUCUCCGGGCUUAACUCGGAACGGUCAAGUGAUACUGUCGGACUAGAGUACAGAAGGGGGCAACUGGAAUUCUCGGUGUAGCGGUGAAAUGCGUAGAUAUCGAGAGGAACACCUGCGGCGAAGGCGGGUUGCUGGGCUGAUACUGACGCUGAGGCGCGAAAGCCAGGGAGCAAACGGG